rnacentral:rRNA from 1 species
UACGUAGGUGGCAAGCGUUGUCCGGAAUUAUUGGGCGUAAAGGGCGCGUAGGCGGUCCUUUAAGUCAGAUGUGAAAUCCCGGAGGCUCAACUUCGGGCGUGCAUUUGAAACUGGAGGACUAGAGUGCAGGAGAGGUAAGUGGAAUUCCUAGUGUAGCGGUGAAAUGCGUAGAUAUUAGGAGGAACACCAGUGGCGAAGGCGACUUACUGGACUGUAACUGACGCUGAGGCGCGAAAGCGUGGGGAGCAAACAGGG